UACGUAGGGUCCGAGCGUUGUCCGGAAUUAUUGGGCGUAAAGAGCUCGUAGGCGGUUUGUCACGUCUGCUGUGAAAACUGGAGGCUCAACCUCCAGCCUGCAGUGGGUACGGGCAGACUAGAGUGCGGUAGGGGAGAAUGGAAUUCCUGGUGUAGCGGUGGAAUGCGCAGAUGUCAGGAGGAACACCGAUGGCGAAGGCAGUUCUCUGGGCCGUAACUGACGCUGAGGAGCGAAAGCGUGGGGAGCGAACAGG
rnacentral:rRNA from 1 species